rnacentral:rRNA from 1 species
UGGUGGAGCGAUUUGUCUGGUUAAUUCCGAUAACGAACGAGACUCUGGCCUAUUAAAUAGUUCGCCGAUUCCGAUCUGUCGGCGUUAACUUCUUAGAGGGACAAGUGGCUUUUAGCCACGCGAGAUUGAGCAAUAUCA